rnacentral:rRNA from 1 species
ACAAUGCUAUCGCUUAUGGAUGAGUCCGCGGCUGAUUAGCUAGUUGGUGAGGUAACGGCUCACCAAGGCGAUGAUCAGUAGCCGGCCUGAGAGGGUGAACGGCCACACUGGGACUGAGACACGGCCCAGACUCCUACGGGAGGCAGCAGUGGGGAAUCUUCCGCAAUGGGCGAAAGCCUGACGGAGCAACGCCGCGUGAGUGAAGAAGCCCUUCGGGUUGUAAAACUCUGUCUUAUGGAAGAAAGGCUAUGGUGCAAAUACUGCCAUAGAUUGUCGGUACAUUGGG